rnacentral:rRNA from 1 species
UACGUAGGUGGCAAGCGUUGUCCGGAUUUACUGGGCGUAAAGAGCGCGCAGGCGGUCGUUCAAGUCGCGUGUGAAAGCCCCCGGCUCAACUGGGGAGGGUCACGCGAUACUGAUCGACUCGAAGGCAGGAGAGGGUAGUGGAAUUCCCGGUGUAGUGGUGAAAUGCGUAGAUAUUCGCAAGAACACCAGUGGCGAAGGCGGCUCACUGGCCCGGUACUGACGCUGAGGCACGAAAGCGUGGGGAGCAAACAGG